GGAGAACCCAGAUUCAUAAAACAAGUUCUUAGAGAUAUACAAAGAGACUUACAUAACUGUAUCAUAAUGGUGGGAGACUUCAACACCUCACUGACAGUGUUAGACAGAUAAUUGAGGCCGAAAACCAGCAAAGAUAUUUGGGACCUAAACUCAACACUUGACCAAAUGAACCUAAUUGACAUCUGCAGAACACUCCACCCAACAACAAUAGAAUAUACACUCUAAGAUCAACCACACAUUUGGUCAUAAAGCAAUUCUUAACAAAUUCAGAAAAACUAAAUUCACACCAACCACACCAUAAAAAAAGAGCAAAUUAAUACCCAGAAGAUCUCUCAAAAUCAUACAAUUA
rnacentral:lncRNA from 1 species